rnacentral:misc_RNA from 1 species
GAUGAAGAACGCAGCGAAACGCGAUAAGUAAUGUGAAUUGCAGAAUUCAGUGAAUCAUCGAAUCUUUGAACGCACAUUGCGCCCGCCAGUAUUCUGGCGGGCAUGCCUGUUCGAGCGUCAUUACAACCCUCAGGCCCCCGGGCCUGGCGUUGGGGAUCGGCGGAAGCCCCCUGCGGGCACAACGCCGUCCCCCAAAUACAGUGGCGGUCCCGCCGCAGCUUCCAUUGCGUAGUAGCUAACACCUCGCAACUGGAGAGCGGCGCGGCCACGCCGUAAAACACCCAACUUCUGAAUGUUGACCUCGAAUCAGGUAGGAAUACCCGCUGAACUUAAGCAUAUCAAUAAGCGGAGGA